rnacentral:rRNA from 1 species
UACGUAGGGGGCAAGCGUUGUCCGGAUUUAUUGGGCGUAAAGAGCGUGUAGGCGGCCAGGUAAGUCCGCUGUGAAAGUCGGGGGCUCAACCCUCGGAUGCCGGUGGAUACUGUCGGGCUUGAGUACGGAAGAGGCGAGUGGAAUUCCUGGUGUAGCGGUGAAAUGCGCAGAUAUCAGGAGGAACACCAAUUGCGAAGGCAGCUCGCUGGGACGUUACUGACGCUGAGACGCGAAAGCGUGGGGAGCAAACAGG